rnacentral:rRNA from 1 species
GAUGAACGCUAGCGGCAGGCCUAACACAUGCAAGUCGAGGGAGAGGUUAUCUUCGGGUAACCAAAACCGGCGCACGGGUGCGUAACGCGUAUACAAUCUGCCUUUCACAUAGGGAUAGCCCGAAGAAAUUUGGAUUAAUACCUAAUGGUAUAUAAGAGCGGCAUCGUUUUUAUAUUAAAGCUACGGUGGUGAAAGAUGAGUAUGCGUUCUAUUAGCUAGUUGGAGAGGUAACGGCUCCCCAAGGCGACGAUAGAUAGGGGUUCUGAGAGGGAUGUCCCCCACACUGGUACUGAGAUACGGACCAGACUCCUACGGGAGGCAGCAGUGAGGAAUAUUGGACAAUGGUCGGAAGACUGAUCCAGCCAUGCCGCGUGCAGGAUGAAGGUCCUAUGGAUUGUAAACUGCUUUUGUAAGGGAAGAAUAAGGAGUACGUGUACUUUGAUGACGGUACCUUACGAAUAAGCAUCGGCUAACUCCGUGCCAGCAGCCGCGGUAAUACGGAGGAUGCGAGCGUUAUCCGGAAUCAUUGGGUUUAAAGGGUCCGUAGGCGGGCUGAUAAGUCAGAGGUGAAAGCGCUUAGCUCAACUAAGCAACUGCCUUUGAAACUGUCAGUCUUGAAUGAUUGUGAAGUAGUUGGAAUGUGUAGUGUAGCGGUGAAAUGCUUGGGUAUUACACAGAACACCGAUAGCGAAGGCAUAUUACUAACAAUUUAUUGACGCUGAUGGGCGAAAGCGUGGGGAGCGAAAAAG